UUAAGUCCCCAGGGGAGAGCCACUCUGUCUGUUUCAAGGGCUUGUCAGUAGGUAAGGAAUUUUAAUGAUUUUCUUCUGCCUCUGUUUCCCACAUCAGCUAAACUUGAGGUGGGAUGGCCUUAACUUUCUCGGCCUCCACACUAUGACCUUCCCUUUGGAUCAGUCUCC